GGUUAACGCUGGCGGUAUGUCUAAUACAUGCAAGUCGAGCGAGGUUUCGAACCGAGCGGCGAACGGCUGAGUAACACGUUGGAACCUGCCCCAGACUCAGGGAUAACAUCUAGAAAUAGGUGCUAAUACCGGAUAGUCCCGCAAGGGUAAAGCUUUUGCGGUCUGGGAGGGUCCUGCGGCCUAUCAGCUUGUUGGUGAGGUAACGGCUCACCAAGGCGAUGACGGGUAGCUGGUCUGAGAGGAUGAUCAGCCAGAAUGGGACUGAGACACGGCCCAUACUCCUACGGGAGGCAGCAGUAAGGAAUCUUCCGCAAUGGACGAAAGUCUGACGGAGCAAUACCGCGUGGGGGACGAAGGUCGAAAGAUUGUAAACUCCUUUCUGAGGGAAGAACUAUGACGGUACCUUAGGAAUAAGCACCGGCUAACUCCGUGCCAGCCGCCGCGGUAAU
rnacentral:rRNA from 1 species